GACGAACGCUGGCGGCGUGCUUAACACAUGCAAGUCGAACGGUGAAGGGGUCUGCUUUUGUGGGCCCUGGAUGAGUGGCGAGCGGGUGUGUAACACGUGAGUAACCUGCCCCCUUCUUCUGGAUAACCGCAUGAAAGUGUGGCUAAUACGGGAUAUUCUGGGUCUGUCGCAUGAUGGGUCUGGGAAAGAUUGCGCCUUUGGGUGUUUUUGGUGGGGGAUGGGCUCGCGGCCUAUCAGCUUGGUGGUGGGGUGAUGGCCUACCAAGGCGGUGACGGGUAGCCGGCCUGAGGGGGUGGACGGUCACACUGGGACUGAGACACGGCCCAGACUCCUACGGGAGGCAGCAGUGGGGAAUAUUGCACAAUGGGCGCAAGCCUGAUGCAGCGACGCCGCGUGAGGGAUGGAGGCCUUCGGGUUGUAAACCUCUUUCGCCAGUGAAGCAGGCCUACUCCUUGUGGGUGGGUUGACGGUAGCUGGAUAAGAAGCGCCGGCUAACUACGUG
rnacentral:rRNA from 1 species